rnacentral:rRNA from 1 species
GUUCAUGGGAGGGGAUAGACUGUUAGUCGAGCGCCUUCUAGCCAUGCUGGAGGCGCGGCGUACUGCUCAGUAGCACGUGGCUAACUUGCCCUUGAGACGGAAACAACCCCGGGAAACUGGGGCUAAUUUCCGAUAGGUGAAGCUCCCUGGAAUGGGAUUUCGCUCAAAAGGCAUCUAGAGCAUGCUUCUAGGUGUCGCUCAAGGAUAGGGCCGCGGCCGAUCAGGUUGUUGGUGAGGUAACGGCUCACCAAGCCUUUUACCGGUGCGGGCCGUGAGAGCGGUGGCCCGGAGAUGGGUACUGAGACAAGGGCCCAGGCCCUACGGGGCGCAGCAGUCGCGAAACCUUCGCAAUACACGAAAGUGUGACGGGGCUAUCCCGAGUGCCAUCUGCUGAGGAUGGCUUUUGCCCAGUGUAGAUAGCUGGGAGAAUAAGGAGAGGGCAAGUCUGGUGUCAGCCGCCGCGGUAAUACCAGCUCUCCGAGUGGUGUGGAUGAUUAUUGGGCCUGAAGCAUCCGUAGCCGGCUGGAUAAGUCCUCUGUUAAAUCCAACGAUUCAAUCGUUGGUCUGCGGGGGAUACUGUCCGGCUUGGGGGCGGGAGAGGCCGACGGUAUUCUCGGGGUAGGGGUGAAAUCCUAUAAUCCCGGGAAGACCACCAGUGGCGAAGGCUGUCGGCUAGAACGCGCUCGACGGUGAGGGAUGAAAGCUGGGGGAGCGAACCGGAUUAGAUACCCGGGUAGUCCCAGCUGUAAACGAUGCAGGCUAGGUGUUAGGGCGGCCACGUGCCGCUCUAGUGCCGCAGGGAAGCUGUUAAGCCUGCCGCCUGGGGAGUACGGCCGCAAGGCUGAAACUUAAAGGGAAUUGGCGGGGGAGCACCACAAAGGGGUGAAGCUUGCGGUUUAAUUGGAGUCAACGCCGGG